rnacentral:rRNA from 1 species
UACGUAGGGUGCGAGCGUUGUCCGGAAUUAUUGGGCGUAAAGGGCUCGUAGGCGGUCUGUUUCGUCGGGAGUGAAAACUCAGGGCUUAACCCUGAGCCUGCUUCCGAUACGGGCAGACUAGAGGUAUGCAGGGGAGAACGGAAUUCCUGGUGUAGCGGUGAAAUGCGCAGAUAUCAGGAGGAACACCGGUGGCGAAGGCGGUUCUCUGGGCACUACCUGACGCUGAGGAGCGAAAGUGUGGGGAGCGAACAGG